UUGAAUACCUUUUAACUUGGAUCCCAUCUAAAUACUUUUUCUCUUUGGACAGGUUUUUGUUGGCCAACGAGUCACUGGUGGUAACGACCGGAGCACUGGUGCUGGUGCCACUGAGCCGUACAAAAAAAAUUUGGAUCUCCUCUAUGCAAUGCUAGACACGGAGGAUCAUUGUUGUUAAUCCAAAAGUGUUUAAAUAUGAAAGUCCUUGAGGUUGACUUGUUGAAGCAUGGUAUCUCAGACCCAUCCUUGAUGACUUCUUAAUCACAGAGCUCUAGUUCUGGGCUUGAGAAAGAUAAGCUUCUUGAACAUGAGGAAUACAUGGCUACUCCUGUGUUUGUACACACCAAGUAAGAAACAU